UCUAAUGUUCUUCUCCCUACCCUCC
rnacentral:piRNA from 1 species